UACGGAGGGGGCUAGCGUUGUUCGGAAUUACUGGGCGUAAAGCGCGCGUAGGCGGCUUUGCAAGUUAGAGGUGAAAGCCCGGGGCUCAACCCCGGAAUUGCCUUUAAAACUGCAUCGCUAGAAUUGUGGAGAGGUGAGUGGAAUUCCGAGUGUAGAGGUGAAAUUCGUAGAUAUUCGGAAGAACACCAGUGGCGAAGGCGACUCACUGGACACAUAUUGACGCUGAGGUGCGAAAGCGUGGGGAGCAAACAGGAUUAGAAACCCCGAGUAGUCC
rnacentral:rRNA from 1 species